rnacentral:rRNA from 1 species
ANGCAGCAGGCGCGCAAUUACCCAAUCCUGACACAGGGAGGUAGUGACAAGAAAUAACAAAGCRAGCCAUUUCUUGGUUUUGCUAUUGGAAUGAGUAGAAUUUAAAUCUCUUUACGACUAUCAAUUGGAGGGCAAGUCUGGUGCCAGCAGCCGCGGUAAUUCCAGCUCCAAUAGCGUAUAUUAAAGUUGUUGCGGUUAAAAAGCUCGUAGUUGGAUUUCUGUUGAGAACGGCCGGUCCGCAUUUUGUGCGUGUAUCUGGUUUGGUCUUGGCAUCCUUCCAAAGAACGCGACUGUGAUUCAGUUCAUGGUGCGGCGCUUUGGAACCUUUACUUUGAGGAAAUUAGAGUGUUCACGGCAGGCAAUCGCCUUGAAUAUAUUAGCAUGGAAUAAUACUAUAGGACCUUGGGUCUAUUUUGUUGGUUUCUAGAGCUAAGGUAAUGAUUAAUAGGGACAAUUGGGGGCAUUCGUAUUAACACGUCAGAGGUGGAAUUCUUAGAUUGUGUUACGACGAACUACUGCGAAAGCAUUUGCCAAGGAUGUUUUCAUUGAUCAAGAACGAAAGUGAGGGGAUCGAAGAUGAUUAGAUACCGUCGUAGUCUUCACCAUAAACUAUGCCGACUAGAGAUUGGAGGUCGUCCUUUUAUGACUCCUUCAGCACCUUAUGAGAAAAUCAAAGUCUUUGGGNUUCCGGGGGGGAGUAUGGUCGCAAGGCUGAAACUUAAAGGAAUUGACGGAAGGGCACCACCAGGAGUGGAGCCUGCGGCUUAAUUUGACUCNAACACGGGGAAACUUACCAGGUCCAGACAUAGUWAGGANUGACAGAUUGAAAGCUCUUUCUUGAUUCUAUGGG